GAAAUCCGUGCCGCACAGUCAACGCCACUGCCGUCGCCGUCGACGGGCGGCCAACAGCCAGCCCGGCCAUGCCGUCGGGUCAUGCAACCGCACGUUGCCAAUGCCGCGCCGCCGCAUAGCCACGCGCUACCGCCGCCGCACCGCGCCGGGCAGAACCUCCGCUCCGCCACGGGCCGCCAUGCGACCGGGAGAAGCACGCCAGGAGGUUUGGCUUCCGCCUCGCCUUGCGCGUGGACCGGGCUGCACACUGAUCACAAGGCCUCGGCCGUGCGCCCGUCGCCUUCGCUGACGCGACGCGGUCGUUGCCGCCCGCUCCGAUGGCCGACCAUGCCGCCGAGCAGCCGUGCUGCGCUGUUGUUGUGGCGUGUGAGGGCGCUCCCGUGCGUUCAGAGAGGCCGCCGCUUGGAGCCGCCUCCCCGAGAAGUCGCCGAAGACGACCGUGGCUCUGUGCCUGAAGUACAGAGUAUAUAUACCUCUCGCCGUCACAACAAUUCAGUCACUAGAAGUGGACUCAUCAUGGCAAAGCAGAGCAGCGCAGUACGGAGUAUAUAUACCUCUCACUGUCACAACAAUUCAGUCACUGAAGUGGUCUCAAUCAUGGCAAAGCAGACCAGUGCAUUACAGAGUAUAUAUACCUCUCACAGUUCAGUCACUAGAAGUGGACUCAUCAUGGCAAAGCAGAGCAGUGCAGUACAGAGUAUAUAUACCUCUCGCCAUCACAACAGUUCAGUCACUAGAAAUGGACUCAGCAUGGCAAAGCAGAGCAAUGCAGUACAGAGUAUAUAUACCUCUUGCCGUUACAACCAGAUAACGGUGGCCAGGUGCGCCUCCCUGACCCGGAUUAUAUGGGUGCCAUUGGAGGAGCUCGUGGUGUGUGUCAUCGGGUCACAGAUGAUCGAUCAAUGCUGCUGCUGCUGCUGCUGUUGCUGUUGCUGUUGCUGGUACACAUAGCUAUGGUGGAACUAUAUUUAUAGGGUCCCGGGUGAGAAUCUGGACGGAAGAGGGCAAAACAGGCGAGGAGUGUAUGUUAUUCCAUUUUGGUGUCCAGAACAUCGAACGGUGGUGCUCUCAUAUGAUGGACUCCUGACUUCAUCAAAACGUGAGUUGUUUGCUCGGUCACAUGGUCUUUGAGAAGAAAGAGGGAGUACUAAACUACAGCCUUCCAUGGCGUCUGGGCAGUGCGAUCCUAGGGCGGAGCCACUGCUUGACAUAAUCCAUCUCACGCAGGACAAUGCUGCUUCCCUGCCUUCUUGAAAAUCUGGAGAUGUGUGGCAAUGCCAAGAUAUAGAAUAUUUUUUUGGCUGCUCUUGCAUGACAGAAUCAACACCAGAUGCCUCCUCCAUAGAAAAGUUUUUUACAUGUCUUCUCAGAAUUGUGCCAUUUGUACUCUAAAUGCUGAUGAGACUAUUUUCGGAUUGUCUGUUUGCUUA